CGAGCGCAACCCUUCGCCUUUAGUUUGCCAGCAGUUCGGCUGGGCACUCUAAAGGGACUGCCGGUGUUAAACCGGAGGAAGGGUGGGGAUGACGUCAAGUCCUCAUGGCCUUUACGACCAGGGCUACACACGUACUACAAUGGCCGAUACAAAGGGCAGCGACACUGCGAGGUGAAGCCAAUCCCCGUAAAAUCGGUCUCAGUCCGGAUUGGAGUCUGCAACUCGACUCCAUGAAGUUGGAAUCGCUAGUAAUCGUGGAUCAGCAUGCCACGGUGAAUACGUUCCCGGGCCUU
rnacentral:rRNA from 1 species